GAUGAAGAACGUAGCGAAAUGCGAUACGUAAUGUGAAUUGCAGAAUUCAGUGAAUCAUCGAAUCUUUGAACGCAUAUUGCGCUCUUUGGUAUUCCGAAGAGCAUGCUUGUUUGAGUAUCAGUAAACACCUCAACCUCUUCUUGAUUUUUCAAAAGGAGGGUGGACUUGAGCUAUCCCAACAACCUUUACCGGUCGGCGGGCGGCUUGAAAUGCAGGUGCAGCUGGACUUUUAUCUGAGCUAAAAGCAUAUCUAUUUAGUCCUCGUCAAACAGGAUUAUUACUUUUGCUGCAGCUAACAUAAAGGAUAAUAGUCCUCUUUGCUGACUGAUGCAGGAUUUUACGACACUUUAUGUGUUGUUCAACUCGAUCUCAAAUCAAGUAAGACUACCCGCUGAACUUAAGCAUAUCAAUAAGCGGAGGA
rnacentral:misc_RNA from 1 species